rnacentral:rRNA from 1 species
GAUGAACGCUGGCGGCGUGCCUAAUACAUGCAAGUCGAGCGAACAGACGAGGAGCUUGCUCCUCUGACGUUAGCGGCGGACGGGUGAGUAACACGUGGAUCACCUACCUAUAAGACUGGGAUAACUUCGGGAAACCGGAGCUAAUACCGGAUAAUAUAUUGAACCGCAUGGUUCAAUAGUGAAAGACGGUUUUGCUGUCACUUAUAGAUGGUUCCGCGCCGCAUUAGUUAGUUGGUAAGGUAACGGCUUACCAAGGCAACGAUGCGUAGCCGACCUGAGAGGGUGAUCGGCCACACUGGAACUGAGACACGGUCCAGACUCCUACGGGAGGCAGCAGUAGGGAAUCUUCCGCAAUGGGCGAAAGCCUGACGGAGCAACGCCGCGUGAGUGAUGAAGGUCUUCGGAUCGUAAAACUCUGUUAUUAGGGAAGAACAAAUGUGUAAGUAACUAUGCACGUCUUGACGGUACCUAAUCAGAAAGCCACGGCUAACUACGUG